GAUGAACGCUGGCGGCGUGCCUAAUACAUGCAAGUCGAGCGCUCAGAUAAGGUGCUUGCUGCUUGGACGUUAGUGGCGGACGGGUGAGUAACACGUGGGUAAUCUACCUAUAAGACGGGGAUAACUUUGGGAAACCGGAGCUAAUACCGGAUAACUUCUUGAACCGCAUGGUUCUUGAGUGAAAGAUGGCUUUGCUAUCACUUAUAGAUGGUCCCGCGCCGUAUUAGCUAGUUGGUAAGGUAACGGCUUACCAAGGCAACGAUACGUAGCCGACCUGAGAGGCGGAUCGGCCACACGGGAACGGAGACGCGGCCCAGACGACUACGGGAGGCAGCAGUAGGGAAUCUUCCGCAAUGGGCGAAAGCCUGACGGAGCAACGCCGCGUGAGGGAAGACGGGUUUCGGAGCGUAAAGCUCUGUUAUUAGAGAAGAACAAGUGUGGCAGUAACUGUCGAGGGCUUGACGGUACCUAAUCAGAAAGCCACGGCUAACUACGUG
rnacentral:rRNA from 1 species